UUCGACGCAUGUGACAAAUAAUAUGUGAUUUGAUUUGAUUUGAUUAUGCCUGCCAUGUACCCUGUAAGCCAAUUGAUACAGUUUGUGUGUUUCAGUAAUUAAGACCAGAAUUCAGACCAUGUCACAGGGUAGUCAGGAGAACACCUACAGCAGUGACAGACUGCAUCAGGAAGAUUCUGCACCAAGAGGGUGCCUCUGCUUUCCAGAGGGGGCGUACUGCCGUGCUCUGGUCAUUGCUCCCCUCUUUGGCAUCGCACAUGUGGUCUACUUCCUGGGAGUGGGAGUUCCUUCUCAGCUUCCUGCCUCAACGGAACAACUAGUCUUGCACUCUCAUACACAGCCCACAAUGGAGCCAGAUAAUCUGGCUCUUUCCUAUCACACACAGCUGACAUUGGAGCUAGGUAAUCUGGUACCUUCCUCUCAGACACGGCCCACACUGGAGCCAGAUAAUCUGGCUCUUUCCUCUCAGACACAGCUGACAUUGGAGCUAGGUAAUCUGGUACCUUCCUCUCAGACACAGGCCCACACUGGAGCCAGAUAAUCUGGCUCUUUCCUCUCAGACACAAUUGACACGGAGCUAGAUAAUCUGGUCUUUCCUCUCAGACACAGCCCACACUGGAGCCAGGUAAUCUGUCACUUUCCUCUCAGACACAGCCCACACUGGAGCCAGGUAAUCUGUCACUUUCCUCUCAGACACAGCCCACACUGGAGCCAGAUAAUCUGGCUCUUUCCUCUCAGACACAGCCCACACUGAAGCCAGGUAAUCUGUCACUUUCCUAUCAGACACAGCCCACACUGGAGCCAGGUAAUCUGUCACUUUCUUCUCAGACACAGCCCACACUGGAGCCAGGUAAUCUGUCACUUUCCUCUCAGACACAGCCACACUGGAGCCAGGUAAUCUGUCACUUUCCUCUAAGACACAGCUGACACUGGAGCUAGAUAAUCUGGCUCUUUCCUAUCACACACAGCUGACAUUGGAGCUAGGUAAUCUGGUACCUUCCUCUCAGAC